UUGAAACAGAAUCUUAAAGAUCUGAGCAACAGAACUGAAGAAUAGCAAUUUCCCCGAGAGAGAGAGAGUGAAAGAAAAAAUUGAUUUUUUACGAUUUCACCAGCAACUGGCGGGCUGCAACAUCACGGAGCUGUUUGAAAUCAUCAUAUGUAAGCUGAUUAUUUGAAGGGAUUUUUCACACACACAUAAUAUUAAAUUUCUGAUCAUAUUUUGUCUCCUCUAAGAAUCUUCAAUUUCUGAAAUAAUAAAGAACAGCUAGAUCUUUUUUAGCA
rnacentral:lncRNA from 1 species